GCUUCUCGCUCACAACCAAUCACGUUCUUCUGAAGGUCACUAGUUCUUAAUUGAUUUCAGCUGCGUCUCCCCCGCCUCUCCUCAUAAAGCGCCCCCACCGUGACUGAUGUUAAUCGUUUAUUUUGCGUUGGAUUGCGUGGGCUGAACAAUCCGGACAUCGUGGCCACCGACGUGGACCCCCGCCACCGGGACCCACGCAACACGCCCCUUGGAAAUUGAACAACGCACUUCAACGCAGAGGAUCCAGAAGGAUUUCACAACGAGUCCAUUGGAAGAUAUCGAAGAACAUGAACAUCACCAAUGAAGGAGAGUAACGUUUCCACUUGCUAUAGGAAUUUAGUGAAGCACUAAAUAGUUAAUAAUAAUAAUGAUAAAAUGUGGUCACCAUUUAUUGACUUUUUGGGUAAGACUUGCUUUACUAAUAUAACCGUGUUAAAACCGCAUUCAUUUACUUUUCUUGUGUAGUUUCCCACUUUCAUUAAAUGUUUUAUAGAAGUAAAAAAGUAAUCAAUAGAACUAUACACAUUUGUACAACAAUUAAUCAUUAGACAGGAUUUGAACAUUUUCUAUUCGAGCUCAUGCUUCAUAAUAUUUCCAAGGAUUGCAGAGUACCAAAUGAUUUAUGAACAGUUGUUUUUGUUCAGGAGCGGAUUGUACUCCCAGAGGCUUCAACAGAGCGGGUCUGGAGCUGGGAGCUGCAGGUGGAUGUUGGCCAGGAGCCGUUCAGUCCUACAGGAACAGACGGUAGAGGUGAUGGAGGCGGUCGUCUGGAGGUGCUCGCCGUGAGGUCCAUGGCGGUCGUCUGGAGGCGCUCGCUGCAGGUGGAGGGAAGGCCGGGAGCCGUGCAGCCCAACGGAUGCAGAACGAAGGGCGGAGGUCCUGGAGGCAGAGGCCAGCCUGGAGGCGGCGGUGGCCUGGAGGUCCUGGAGGCGUCCAACCUGGAAGGGGCGGCAUGGAGGGCCAGGUGGCGGCUCUUCAUCCAAAGGGCCUGGAGGCGGCCAACCUGGAGACGGC